AUUGAACGCUGGCGGCAGGCCUAACACAUGCAAGUCGAACGGUAACAGGAAACAGCUUGCUGUUUCGCUGACGAGUGGCGGACGGGUGAGUAAUGUCUGGGAAACUGCCUGAUGGAGGGGGAUAACUACUGGAAACGGUAGCUAAUACCGCAUAACGUCGCAAGACCAAAGAGGGGGACCUUCGGGCCUCUUGCCAUCGGAUGUGCCCAGAUGGGAUUAGCUAGUAGGUGGGGUAACGGCUCACCUAGGCGACGAUCCCUAGCUGGUCUGAGAGGAUGACCAGCCACACUGGAACUGAGACACGGUCCAGACUCCUACGGGAGGCAGUAGUGGGGAAUAUUGCACAAUGGGCGCAAGCCUGAUGCAGCCAUGCCGCGUGUAUGAAGAAGGCCUUCGGGUUGUAAAGUACUUUCAGCGGGGAUGAAGGGAGUAAAGUUAAUACCUUUGCUCAUUGACGUUACCCGCAGAAGAAGCACCGGCUAACUCCGUG
rnacentral:rRNA from 1 species